AUAGCCCACGCCUUCUGCCGUGACCUCGGGCCCCCAGACCUGAAUCGUCUAAAAUUUUUCUCGCACAUCCAAUUAGGUCAAAGGAACCAUAGUCACCGCCCGGCCACGAUAAAAUUACAUUUUUCGGAUGUUUACGGCCAUAAAAUUUGAAAUCCGCGCGAGUCCCAAUUUUUCGUGUGCUAUAGUCCACGCCUUCUGCCGUGACCUCGGGCCCCCGGACCUGAAUCGUCUAAUAUUUUUCUCGCACAUCCAAUUCGGCCAAAGGAACCAUAGUCA
rnacentral:lncRNA from 1 species